UAGGGAGAGUUCCAACACUACAAAAGGGAAAUAGAAUGGAAAAUAUAUUUAGUUUUCCAUGGUCGAAAGAUAGUCCUAUUGUUCUUGGACCGAGAUUUAAGGAUGCAUUCCAAGACCCAAAUUCAUACCUUGCCAUAGAGCCCAUCUUUGAGAAAGAGAGGUAAGAUGGUCUCAGCUUUAUAUGAAUCUUGUAAGAUGGUCUCAGCUUUAUAUGAAUCUUGUAAGAUGGUCUC